ensembl:lncRNA
GUUCUGUUCACUGGGAGAGCAACGAGGCGGGCAAGCAGCUAUCCUUGGCCUCAUCGGGUUUGUUCUGAGUCUCUGCUCGGUGCCAGGUGCUGGGGACACAGACAGCACUGAACAAGGGAGAAAGUUCGUGGCCCUCAGGAAUUGCAUUCUGCUCCGUGUCUGUUUGCCCUGAAUCCCAUCUACUCUGGAUUCAUGUGUUGAAGUGCUGACUCCCAGCGUGGCUGUGUCUGGAGACAGGCUCUCAGGAGGUGGGUAGAAGGGAGGGGCGCUGGUCCCCGGGGACUGGUGUCCUCCUGAGAAGAGAGACAUGGGUGAUGUGGGUGAGGAUGUGGCAAGAAGACAGCCAUCUGCGAGCCAAGGAGGGAGGCCUCAGGCCGACCCUGGACACCUUGAUCUCAGACCUGCAGCCUCCAGACCAAACCCUCCAGACUCAGGUGGUGUGCCUUUGCUCCAGCCCCUCUGCAGGUUGGGCCAUGGCCAGCAGCGUUGCCACCUGCUCCGGAUCUCACCAAGAGUGGAGCCGGCCACAGUGCUUAGCGCACAUUCUUCCUCAUUGUACACCUUUCUCACCUUGUCUCCCGGACUCCCAGGGCUCCUAUUCAUCCUUCAGAGCCCUGCCUGGCAUCUGCUGCCCAGAAGUGAGCCUUCACCACAUGAAGCUACUUUGGCUUUUUAAAAAAUUUUAUUUUUUAAAAAAGAUUUACUUAUA